rnacentral:rRNA from 1 species
GACGAACGCUGGCGGCGUGCUUAACACAUGCAAGUCGAACGGAAAGGCCCCUUUGGGGGUACUCGAGUGGCGAACGGGUGAGUAACACGUGAGUAACCUGCCCUUGGCUUCGGGAUAACUUCAGGAAACUGGGGCUAAUACCGGAUAGGAAUCCUUGCUGCAUGGUGGGGGUUGGAAAGCUUCGGCGGUUUUGGAUGGACUCGCGGCUUAUCAGCUUGUUGGUGGGGUAGUGGCUUACCAAGGCUUUGACGGGUAGCCGGCCUGAGAGGGCGACCGGCCACAUUGGGACUGAGAUACGGCCCAGACUCCUACGGGAGGCAGCAGUGGGGAAUAUUGCACAAUGGGCGGAAGCCUGAUGCAGCAACGCCGCGUGCGGGAUGACGGCCUUCGGGUUGUAAACCGCUUUCAGCAGGGGCGAAGCUUGUGGUGACGGUACCUGCAGAAGAAGCACCGGCUAACUACGUG